GCCUCUUUAGCUCAGUGGUAGAGCGUUGGUCUUGUAAACCAAAGGUCAUGUGAUCAAUCCACAUAAGGGGCA